rnacentral:rRNA from 1 species
AACGAACGCUGGCGGCAUGCCUAACACAUGCAAGUCGAACGAGAUCUUCGGGUCUAGUGGCGCACGGGUGCGUAACGCGUGGGAAUCUGCCCUCAGGUUCGGAAUAACCAUUGGAAACGAUGGCUAAUACCGGAUGAUGACGUUAAGUCCAAAGAUUUAUCGCCUGAGGAUGAGGCCGCGUAGGAUUAGCUGGUUGGUGUGGUAAAGGCGCACCAAGGCGACGUUCCUUAGCUGGUCUGGGAGAAUGAUCAGCCACACUGGGACGGAGACACGGCCCAGAAUCCUAGGGAAGGCAGCGGUGGGGGAUACAGGACUAUGGGCGAAGGGCUGAAGCAGCAAGGCCGCGUGAGUGAUGAAGGCGUUAGGGAAGUAAAGCUCUUUUACCCGGGAUGAUAAUGACAGUACCGGGAGAAUAAGCUCCGGCUAACUCCGUG